GUUGAAACAGGACGAGUUCAGGUAUAUCAUUAGUGCAACAAGUAGACUUACUGAUCUGCAUCAAUACACAGAAAACCAUUGGAGUUGCCUGAUGAUAUCCAGGAAGCGCCUUUUUCAUGUUUUCUGGGAGAACUUGUAAUGGUAUCUCCAACCCUUGCAUCAGCAACUGAGCGAAUUGACAUACCCCAUCUCUACAGAGGAACAUCGUCAAGACAAAAUAUGUGUUGAAGGUGCGUACCUCUCCUGCGUACAGCUGCUGCACGGGCAUUUGUGAAGGCGACAAUACUCCUAUUUCAUCAACCUGGUAUUCCUGCAUGCCAAAUACACGUUCUGAAUGAGAAAAAUACCCAUCUUUCCACUAGACAUAAAUUUUACUGAUUCUCCUCGACACAAGCUCCCAUCUAUGACUCUAAAGUACACGAUGACGCCGCAGUAGGGAUCGUAG
rnacentral:lncRNA from 1 species